rnacentral:rRNA from 1 species
AUGGAGCAAUGCAGCGUUAGGGUGUCGAACGAGCUGGGCGCAAACAGGCCUAAGGCGGCCAAGUUCUCAAUGAUCAUAGCGGUGUCGACGUCCGCCGCCAUCGGGGCGGUCUUCCUGGCCGUGUUCCUCAUCUGGAGGACCGAGCUGCCGCAGUUCUUCAGCGACAAUGACAAGAUGGUGCGGGGAGCUGCAAAGCUUGGCUACCUUCUUGCAGCAUCCAUCUUCCUCAACAACAUCCAGCCUGUGCUUUCAGGUGUGGCGAUAGGAGCAGGGUGGCAGAAGCUUGUGGCGUUCAUAAACAUUGUGUGCUACUACUUGUUUGGCAUCCCACUGGGAGUCCUCUUUGGCUUCAAGCUAAAACUUGGUGCAUUGGGGAUUUGGGUGGGCAUGUCAAUUGGCAUGCUGCUGCAGACUGCUAUACUGAUCACAAUUUGCUUCCGAGCCAAGUGGGAGAAUCAGACUAUGUUGGCCGAAGAGAGGAUAAGGAAGUGGGGAGGAAGCAGCAGUGAAACAUUGCCGGUGGCCGCAACAACGGCGACAAACGAUAUCAUAGAUCAAUAA